UCUGGCCAUCUGCAUGUACUUAAGAGUGGCCGUCCCCAUCGACCAUUGUCUUGUCCCCCACUUGAUCUGUUAAAGACAAAGGAUUUAUUGAGGGCCAAAAGCCUCCACAACCCAUUCCUCAUUAGCUUGGGAGACUUUCAGGUGAGGUGACUAUUUGCGAUCAUCAAGUCUAUUUCAUUUUAGGUGAGGUGGUACUUGAUUCGCCUUCUCAUCACCGCAUUUCCACUCAGUCAAUUCGAGUUCGACAUGUUGAGCACCGGUAUCGUAUAAAAUAUAAAUGGAAUGGUGGC
rnacentral:lncRNA from 1 species